GUUCCUGUUAGAGCCACCAGCACAAGCACCAGACGAUGCUGAUCCAGUGAGUACUCCAUCAAAGGCAUACUGUAGGCCUGGCAUGUCUUGUCUACUAGCUUCAAUAUGAAUCCGAUUAAAUGUGAUAGGGUGAAGGCCCCAGUGCAGCAGCAACAGCACAUGAUGGAGACGAUGAUGAGGAGGAGACCAUCUCUCUGGAUUCCAGAAGGCAUGAGGACCCAGAUGCUAUACAGUGGGAAAACCAGCCUGGCAACAUAAGCUCACAAGCUAUCAGAAAGUUGUAUGGCAACCACCUCCGGCGCCAAAUAGAACUGGCAGACAUAGACAUUCAGUACAAGAAGAAAAAGAUGGAAAAUCUUGCACUGGAGUCUGAAAUAAAAAAGAGGACAAUUAGGAAACUGAACCUUGAAAUAAAAAAACUUGAGAGGGAGCUCCAAGAAGAUGACACAGCUCAAAAUAAAAAUUAGGUAUAUUCUCGUAAAGUCAAGUGAGCCAUGACAUAUGAGCUCUUAUUGUGAGCACACAGGACGGUGGCAUCUUUCUAAGGUUUUUUUAUUUUCCCAGCAAUCAGUACAACCAAGUCAUCGUUAUAAGGCAUCGCCCUCUUUUGCCCACCCCCCCAGCACCAGGUGUGGCCACUAGCCUAUAUGAAGGCCCAAAAUUGUGUGUUCCUUUCUGCUCUGACAAUGGCAUGCCCAUUUGUGCGAGAUGUGGUGGAUGAAGAAGCACUUGUGCUGAGGAGAGCCUUCAGGCGAGAAAGGGUCUUCAGGGACCGGUUGGACCCACUGGCCUUCCCUGAUGACCAUCUAUAUGAAAGAUACAGGUUUUCUGCAGAUGGCAUCAGGUAUCUAUGCAGACUACUGGGUCCCAGGAUUAAGCACCGCACUGCACGGAGCCAUGCACUGAGUGUGGAGCAAAUGGUUUGUGUGGCCUUGCGCUUUUUGCUAGUGGAGCCUUCCUGUACUCAGUGGGGGAUGCAGAACAGCUGAACAAGGCCACAAUUUGCCGCACAAUAAGGAGUGUGUGUCUGGCUAUCAAAGCAUUAGCAGAUGUCUUCAUCUCCUUCCCUGGCCACAGAAGACUCUGUGACAUCAAAGAGGAGUUCUAUAGGAUUGCAGAUGGUCUGCAAUGCUGACUGUGUGAUCAGCAAUGUUGUGGCAAAAUGGCCUGGCUCAGUCCAUGACUCCAGAAUCUUUCGGGCCUCUGAAAUCUCUCAGUGCCUAUCACAAGGUGAAUUCUCUGGUGUGUUGCUGGGAGACAGGGGUAUGGCUGCCAGCCUUUUCUCCUGACACCUUUCACAGACCCCCAGGAAGCACAGCAGGCCUACAACCAUGCCCAUGCCAGGACCAGGGCCAGAGUUGAAAUGACCUUUGGCCUCCUGAAGGCACGCUUUCACUGCCUUCACAAAUUAAGGGUCAGCCCUGUUAGGGCAUGUGAUAUUACUGUGGCUUGUGCUGUCCUCCACAAUGUGGCCUGCCUGAGGAAGGAGAGGGCCCCCAGAGUGUCACCAGCCAUGGACUGGGACAAUCCGGCAAUCUUCCCUGAUGACGACAGUGGUCGGCUGCUGAGGGACCAAUAUGUGUUGAAUUAUUUUAGUUAGUAUGUGUGCUUUCAAUUUUGGUUAAAUAUGUCCUGCGGUGGCAGAGGAAUUUGGUUUUUUUGGGUUCGUUUUUUGACGAAUUUGGCCUCUUAUGAUGUUUGUGCGGUAUACUGUGUGUAAUACAAGGCUGCAGGGAGGCUACUGCAUCCAUUCAUUUGUCUGUUCAGUUGAUGUGUAUGGAUUUGUCCUGCAUUUAUUUUAGUGUGCAGACAUGCAGGGUGUGUUAUAUACAGACCUUUGAAUGUGUAUGUAUCAUUUUGUAUAAUAUGCUUGGAUUCUGUGCUUUCCAUCUUGUAGAGUCACUGUGACUUCAGUUUCGAAAGGAGCUGAUGGUUUACCUGCUUUGUUUUGUCCUUAUUCAAUAAAGGAACAUAAUGUUACACAUUGUUUUUAUAUUCAUAUGGAAUGUGUAUUUGUUUAUAUGACAGAGUACUAGGGCCACACUGAAGAAAAAGGAUAAAGUCAUAAAUUUAUGAGGCUGGUUCUUUCUGCAGAAAAGCUACAUAUUGUUUUUACAGUUUUGAUACUUAUGACAAUGUGAUACUUAAUAUUCUGGCACAUCAGCAUGUCUUUGUUUAUGAAACCAUACUGAAGUACAAUUUCACGAAAUGCCCCACAUCUGUCAUUUUAACAACUGUCCUCCUUUAAAACAACUGGUUACAAUAUUAUGACUU